rnacentral:rRNA from 1 species
AUUGAACGCUGGCGGCAGGCCUAACACAUGCAAGUCGAACGAGUGGCGGACGGGUGAGUAAUGUCUGGGAAACUGCCUGAUGGAGGGGGAUAACUACUGGAAACGGUAGCUAAUACCGCAUACCAUCAGAUGUGCCCAGAUGGGAUUAGCUAGUAGGUGGGGUAACGGCUAACCUAGGCGACGAUCCCUAGCUGGUCUGAGAGGAUGACGAGCCACACUGGAACUGAGACACGGUCAGGACUCCUACGGGAGGCAGCAGUGGGGAAUAUUGCAAAAUGGGGGCAAGCCUGAUGCAGACAUGCCGCGUGUUGGAAGAAGGCCUUCGGGUUGUAAAGCACUUUCAGCGGGAAGGCGUUACCCGCAGAAGAAGCACCGGCUAACUCCGUGCCAGCAGCCGCGGUAAUUC